rnacentral:rRNA from 1 species
UACAGAGGUCCCAAGCGUUGUCCGGAUUCAUUGGGCGUAAAGGGUGCGUAGGUGGUGAGGUAAGUUGGAUGUGAAAUCUCGGGGCUCAACCUCGAAACUGCAUUCAAUACUGCCUUGCUGGAGUACUGGAGAGGAGAUUGGAAUUUACGGUGUAGCAGUGAAAUGCGUAGAUAUCGUAAGGGAGACCAGUGGCGAAGGCGGAUCUCUGGACAGUUACUGACACUGAGGCACGAAGGCCAGGGGAGCAAACGGG